rnacentral:rRNA from 1 species
GACGAACGCUGGCGGCGUGCCUAAUACAUGCAAGUAGAACGCUGAAGCGAGGAGCUUGCUCUUCUUGGAUGAGUUGCGAACGGGUGAGUAACGCGUAGGUAACCUGCCUUGUAGCGGGGGAUAACUAUUGGAAACGAUAGCUAAUACCGCAUAACAAUGGAUGACACAUGUCAUUUAUUUGAAAGGGGCAAUUGCUCCACUACAAGAUGGACCUGCGUUGUAUUAGCUAGUAGGUGAGGUAAUGGCUCACCUAGGCGACGAUACAUAGCCGACCUGAGAGGGUGAUCGGCCACACUGGGACUGAGACACGGCCCAGACUCCUACGGGAGGCAGCAGUAGGGAAUCUUCGGCAAGGGGGGCAACCCUGACCGAGCAACGCCGCGUGAGUGAAGAAGGUUUUCGGAUCGUAAAGCUCUGUUGUAAGUCAAGAACGGGUGUGAGAGUGGAAAGUUCACACUGUGACGGUAGCUUACCAGAAAGGGACGGCUAACUACGUG